GUGCUUGCUUCAGCAGCACAUAUACUAAAAUUGGAACGACACAGAGAAGAUUAGCAUGGCUCCUGUGCAAAUUCAUGAAGUGUUCCAUAUAUUU
ensembl:snRNA U6 U6 spliceosomal RNA